AUGGUGAGGUGUGAGAUUUACACACCUGGAGGCCGCUCUGGGGAUCGCUGGAGGCCGCCUGCCGGAGGAGUACCCUUGAGCUUGCAUCAGUUUGUAUAUGCCGCUGUUACAAAUGCGGAAUUGAACAAAUUACCUCCUGUGUUUGCCAACGGUUGCCUGCACUGGUUGAUGAGACCUGCCUCUUUCACCACGACUCCGAGUGUUGCUGUCGUGUCCUUCUCGGUCACGGAGGAGACCUUCACAUGUCUCCGGUCACCGCCCUUCUGGGUACCAGGAGCGCCGCCGAUCAGGUAUGGGUUGUCCAAAGAGCAACUAGUGGAGAUGGAUGACCAACUAUGUUUGGUCCAAGAUACUCGCAACACAAUCCUUUAUGCUAAUGUUUUGGAGAUCUGGAAACUGCCGGACUUAGCUCUGGUGACUGGUUACUGA
rnacentral:rRNA from 1 species